rnacentral:rRNA from 1 species
UACGUAGGGGGCGAGCGUUGUCCGGAAUUAUUGGGCGUAAAGAGCUCGUAGGCGGUUUGUCGCGUCGACUGUGAAAACCCGAGGCUUAACCUCGGGCCUGCAGUCGAUACGGGCAGACUAGAGUUCGGUAGGGGAGACUGGAAUUCCUGGUGUAGCGGUGGAAUGCGCAGAUAUCAGGAGGAACACCGGUGGCGAAGGCGGGUCUCUGGGCAGUAACUGACGCUGAGACGCGAAAGCGUGGGGAGCAAACAGG